AUUUGAACUGCACUUACAUGGAUUUUUCAAUAAAUACAAAAAUACACAUGUAGAAGAACCUCGCGUGUGAGACUUGUAUUGAAGUGGAGAGCCUAACCUUACACGAGCAUAUGAUCACAUCAUCCUGAUGUUUUGGCAUUUUGCUGGGGGCCUCAACGUGCAGUGCCUUUAAAGAGAGCUCUCUACUGCCGUCUCAUGGUGGAUGAGUGAAUGGCUGGGAGUUAGGAGGCAGUGCUGGCUCCACCACUGAGGAGGACAGAAUGGAAGAGCUGGAGCCAGUCAUCCAAGAAAUAACAGUUCCUCAGAGGGAGAGUCUUAAUGCUUGUGUUCCUAGUUGUUACUGCUGUUUGGAUAAAGGGAAAAUACAGUACUGUUUCAGUUCUGAUGGAACCACACCCUACAUCCAAAAUGACUAUGAGAAUGAAAGAUUCCACAGAGACCCCUGGGAAGCUUACGUGUAACAGAACUGAAUUGCUACGGUUAAUGUGUGAUACCAGAAACAGAAUUCCAUGGAGAUAAAAACAUGAAUUAAGCACAGAUCCUGCCUUCAAGGAACUUCACAUCUAAUGGGAGAGAUGGACAGGUGCAUAUUGUUUACACUCAUGGAAGACAAAGAAGGAGAAGGAGAGGAAGAAAAAAGGAGGAGGAGAGAAUGGCAUCCAUUCUUCCAAAACAGUUACCCGUAUGCCAGCUGGUCCUCUCAUAAAACCAGACCUCAGGCGAGAAGACUGAGAUACAAAGAAGUGACAUAAGCAAAUGAGUGACAAAGAUUACUUUUGAAGAACCUACCUCUUAUUCUCAAAAAAGAAAAAAAAGAAGGAAGCUCGGCGAACACAAGAAAAGUCUUGAUACUGGAGGGCCUGACAUCGUAGUUGAAGGUAAGAGUGACACACCUGUGUGUCUGUGUUUGGGGAUCGCUAACAAGGUAAGUCUCAGAAGAGAUGUGCUCAUCUUCCAUGUAGCAGAGGGUGUGCAAACACAGAGAAAGAACUCAAGCCAGGAAGCAUUUAAAAGUAUCCUACUAAAAGAUUAAAAAGGGAGACCCCAGACUGUGAAAGAUAAUAUUGUUAAGGGUAUGUGGAAGCAUUCCUAAUAAAAGGAAAAAAAGACAUAAGAAAUAAGGACACCCCAAGCAGAAAGGAAUAUUAUUGCACAUGUAACUCAAAGGUCAGAUGGCUGCGUUACAUCCACUUGGAGGGCUGAUGGAGGGCUGAUAGAGGACGGAGAAGAAACUACUUGAACUUGGACCAAUGCCCACAGGCUGUCCUGCAGGGAUAGCUCUCCCCUGGGAGACUGGUCGAUGUCUUUUUUUGUGGAGGCUGAUUUUCUAAAAAUUAAUUACUUUAUCCUGGCCUUAUUUGCUACUUCCUUUAGUGUCACUAUUCAAGGAUAAAAAAUUGACAUGUUACUGUUGAAAAACAAAAUAAAAGAAAAGGAAAAAAAAAGGAUGCCAAACUACAGGUGGGUUUGACAAUAUAAUUUGUUUUUCAAUAUAAUUCUUACACUGUGGGGGUCUGUUCAAUAAGAUCCAUUUCUCCAGCCCCUGAUCUUCAGUACAGUCUCCAGUUGGAGCCUCAGCAUAAAGAUGUGAUAGAGAAGCAAUGAAGGUAGACACAAAACACAGCUCAGACUCUCAGUGCGA